CAACUUUGGAUAAGCACAAGCAAGGGUUGGCGCCAAAGAGUCCAUGUUAAUCAGGACUCUUCAUCCUUAUCCAUUUGGGGCACCCACUUUAAUCCAAUUAGGCUCAUGCCAUAAUAUGAUUAUGGCAUCCAAUUCAAUAUAGUUUUGACAUGUGGACACUCCAUAAAAAUCCUCCAAUGAGCUCUCUUCAGUUUAAGACCCAUAUGUCAACAUUUGACAGAUGUCCUAAAAUGAAAUUG
rnacentral:lncRNA from 1 species